rnacentral:rRNA from 1 species
GACGAACGCCCGCGGCGUGCUUAACACAUGCAAGUCGAACGGAAAGGCCCUGCUUUUGUGGGGUGCUCGAGUGGCGAACGGGUGAGUAACACGUGAGUAACCUGCCCUUGACUUUGGGAUAACUUCAGGAAACUGGGGCUAAUACCGGAUAGGAGCUCCUGCUGCAUGGUGGGGGUUGGAAAGUUUCGGCGGUUGGGGAUGGACUCGCGGCUUAUCAGCUUGUUGGUGGGGUAGUGGCUUACCAAGGCUUUGACGGGUAGCCGGCCUGAGAGGGUGACCGGCCACAUUGGGACGGAGAUACGGCCCAGACUCCUACGGGAGGCAGCAGUGGGGAAUAUUGCACAAUGGGCGGAAGCCUGAUGCAGCAACGCCGCGUGCGGGAUGACGGCCUUCGGGUUGUAAACCGCUUUCGCCUGUGACGAAGCGUGAGUGACGGUAAUGGGUAAAGAAGCACCGGCUAACUACGUG